rnacentral:rRNA from 1 species
AACGAACGCUGGCGGCAGGCUUAACACAUGCAAGUCGAACGGGCAUAGCAAUAUGUCAGUGGCAGACGGGUGAGUAACACGUGGGAACCUUCCUAGAGGUACGGAACAACGCAGGGAAACUUGCGCUAAUACCGUAUACGCUCGAGAGAGGAAAGAUUUAUCGCCUUUAGACGGGCCCGCGUAGGAUUAGGUAGUUGGUGAGGUAACGGCUCACCAAGCCUACAAUCCUUAGCUGAUCUGAGAGGAUGAUCAGCCACACUGGAACUGAGACACGGUCCAGACUCCUACGGGAGGCAGCAGUGGGGAAUCUUGGACAAUGGGCGCAAGCCUGAUCCAGCCAUGCCGCGUGAGUGAAGAAGGCCUUCGGGUUGUAAAGCUCUUUUGUCAGGGACGAUAAUGACGGUACCUGAAGAAUAAGCCCCGGCAAGCUUCGUGCCAGCCGCCGCGGUAAUAC